rnacentral:rRNA from 1 species
GACGAACGCUGGCGGCGUGCCUAAUACAUGCAAGUAGAACGCUGAAGCGAGGAGCUUGCUCUUCUUGGAUGAGUUGCGAACGGGUGAGUAACGCGUAGGUAACCUGCCUUGUAGCGGGGGAUAACUAUUGGAAACGAUAGCUAAUACCGCAUAACCAUGGAUGACACAUGUCAUUUAUUUGAAAGGGGCAAUUGCUCCACUACAAGAUGGACCUGCGUUGUAUUAGCUAGUAGGUGAGGUAAUGGCGCACCUAGGCGACGAUACAUAGCCGACCUGAGAGGGUGGGCGGCCACCCUGGGACUGAGACACGGCACAGACGCCUACGGGAGGCAGCAGGAGGGAAACUUCGGCAAUGGGGGCAAACCUGACCGAGCAACGCCGCGGGAGUGAAGAAGGGUGUCGGAUCGUAAAGCUCUGUUGUAAGUCAAGAACGGGUGUGAGAGUGGAAAGUUCACACUGUGACGGUAGCUGAUCAGAAAGGGACGGCUAACUACGUG